UGCCCGUAGCUCAGUUGGAUAGAGCAUCAGCCUUCUAAGCUGAGGGUCGGGGGUUCUUUUUACGGGUAG
rnacentral:tRNA from 2 species